AUUGAACGCUGGCGGCAGGCCUAACACAUGCAAGUCGAGCGGUAGCACAAGGGAGCUUGCUCCCUGGGUGACGAGCGGCGGACGGGUGAGUAAUGUCUGGGAAACUGCCUGAUGGAGGGGGAUAACUACUGGAAACGGUAGCUAAUACCGCAUAACGUCGCAAGACCAAAGAGGGGGACCUUCGGGCCUCUUGCCAUCAGAUGUGCCCAGAUGGGAUUAGCUAGUAGGUGGGGUAAUGGCUCACCUAGGCGACGAUCCCUAGCUGGUCUGAGAGGAUGACCAGCCACACUGGAACUGAGACACGGUCCAGACUCCUACGGGAGGCAGCAGUGGGGAAUAUUGCACAAUGGGCGCAAGCCUGAUGCAGCCAUGCCGCGUGUGUGAAGAAGGCCUUCGGGUUGUAAAGCACUUUCAGCGAGGAGGAAGGUGGUGAACUUAAUACGUUCAUCAAUUGACGUUACUCGCAGAAGAAGCACCGGCUAACUCCGUGCCAGCAGCCGCGGUAAUACGGAGGGUGCAAGCGUUAAUCGGAAUUACUGGGCGUAAAGCGCACGCAGGCGGUUUGUUAAGUCAGAUGUGAAAUCCCCGGGCUCAACCUGGGAACUGCAUUUGAAACUGGCAAGCUAGGGUCUCGUAGAGGGGGGUAGAAUUCCAGGUGUAGCGGUGAAAUGCGUAGAGAUCUGGAGGAAUACCGGUGGCGAAGGCGGCCCCCUGGACGAAGACUGACGCUCAGGUGCGAAAGCGUGGGGAGCAAACAGG
rnacentral:rRNA from 1 species